GAGGGUAGAGCUCAGUGGUAGAGCGUGUGCUUAGCAUGCGUGAGGUCCUGGGUUCAGUCCCCAGUACCUCCC
rnacentral:tRNA from 1 species